CGGGGUCGCUGAGGGUUGGACACGACUGAGCGACUUCACUUUCACUUUUCACUUUCAUGCAUUGGAGAAGGAAAUGGCAACCCACUCCAGUGUUCUUGCCUGGAGAAUCCCAGGGACGGGGGAGCCUGGUGGGCUGCCGUCUAUGGGGUCGCAUAGAGUCGGACACGACUGAAACAACUUAGCAGCAGCAGCAGAUGGCCGAGGAAAUACGGAUGCACAUCACAGCAAGUGAACUGCUCUUUCAAUGUGGUGAUUAUGAAGCUUUUUUUGAUGUUGGUAAUGAUCCAGAACCGCUUAUGAUUUUGAUAGAUCUAGCAUUUGUCAGCAGUCAGCAAUUUUGUACCAAAUUGAAGCUGAAGAUUUUUCUCUUGUCUUCCAAAGGUCCUCUUAUUUGAUUGAGGAGACUAUAAAAGUCAUACGGUGUAACUGCAUUGUUUCCGCUGUCAAUUUCUUUAGUUAAACUGCAAACUCUCUGCAUGAUUGGAGACUGUAAAAGGGUCAGAGG
rnacentral:lncRNA from 1 species